rnacentral:rRNA from 1 species
AACGCUGGCGGCGUGCCUAACACAUGCAAGUCGCACGAGAAAGGGUAGCAAUACCUGAGUAAAGUGGCGCACGGGUGAGUAACACGUGAAUUAUCUACCUCCGAGUGGGGAAUAACUGAGAGAAAUCUUAGCUAAUACCGCAUAACACUUACGAGUCAAAGCAGCAAUGCGCUUGGAGAGGAGUUCGCGGCCGAUUAGUUAGUUGCCGGGGUAAUGGCCCACCAAGACGAUGAUCGGUAUCCGGCCUGAGAGGGCGCACGGACACACUGGAACUGAAACACGGUCCAGACUCCUACGGGAGGCAGCAGUGGGGAAUUUUGCGCAAUGGGGGAAACCCUGACGCAGCAACGCCGCGUGGAGGAUGAAAUAUCUUGGUAUGUAAACUCCUUUCGAUGGGGAAGAUUAUGACGGUACACAAGAAGAAGCCCCGGCUAAGA